rfam:Heterocephalus glaber contig134267, whole genome shotgun sequence.
CUCUAUGGCCAUACCACCCCGAAUGCGCCUGAUCUUGUCUGAUCUUGGAAGCUAAGCAGGGUCGGUCCUGGUUAAUACUUGGAUGGGAGACAGAUAGUGCCCUUAUGUGAAGACAAAUCACAGAAU